GGAUGCGAUCAUACCAGCACUGAAGCACCGGAUCCCAUCAGAACUCCGUAGUUAAGCGUGCUUGGGCGAGAGUAGUACUAGGAUGGGUGACCUCCUGGGAAGUCCUCGUGUUGCAUUGC
rnacentral:rRNA from 1 species